rnacentral:misc_RNA from 1 species
AGUUUUUACUUGGCAACUCUAUUAUUUUCCUUCAAAAUACUUGGGCCUGUGCUGCAAUUGCAUAUUUUAGAAAAGUUAAAAAUUAAAAAAUUCUUGGAUAACACCGCUACUACAAAAGUUCAAUAUGAGCUACGAUUUCUUGGCUGGCUAUCAUAUUCCUACAAUUCAGCAUGGUGUAGUGGCCCCAAUGUCCGCAAUUCCAUCUCACGAUGGAACGCACCAGCAGAAUCAGCAACAAGCUGUGGAUAUUUAUAAUCAAUAUCAAAAUAUUAAUCGAUACAUUCCCCCAGGUUUGCAAGGAACUAAUUACAUACCACCCUUGCCGUCAAAGCCUCAGAAGCGUAAAUACGAUUCAGGUCCGGGUAGAUCAAAGCUGGACCCCCUGGCAGAAACUACAUUAGAUGGUAAACUUGUAAUAUUUCACGGUCGAGAUACUAGUUAUCCAGAUGAGUUGAAUAAGUUGAUACAUCCACUGCAUUGUUCUCUAUGUGAUGUGCAAAUGAAUUCCUCAAAAAGUGCUAAGGAUCAUUAUGAAUCCAAACAGCAUGAUCGUCAUAUAACAACUUGGCUAAAUAAGAAUUUUGUAGAUAAGGGGCAAACAGCACCCAUAGUUAAGAGGUUCAUUAAGGAUGGCCCAACCGGAACAGAUAUUUAUCAUUGCGAAAUAUGCGACUUGAAAUUUGGAUCAUUGGCACAUGCCAGUCAGCAUUACUCAGGCCGUAAGCAUAAACUUGUCGCCAGCAAAGUCUCCCAACCUUCUGGAGCUGGCUUUUACAAUACCGAAAAUAAAUGGGUUCGUACGGGAACCAAAUAUGUGCCCAAAAUCGAAAAUGAUGGACGCUUUGGUAUUGGGAGUUUGUUCCAGGCUUACCCGGACGCGUCUGAUGAAGGAGCUGCACCUGAUACGACUACACCCACAGAUAACGUUGCCAAAACUGCUAUUAGUCCAGAUGGCCAUGUUAAGCUUAUUGCUGCUGGGCCAACUUCUAAAAAAGUUGUGGCAACAUCGUCAUAUUGUGAGAUAUGUAAGGUACAUGCAACUUCUGAGGGGCAGAUGACAAUGCAUUUGGAAGGCGUAAAACACAAGAAAAAACUAAAAUCUCUAAGUUUGGAAGAAUCUAUUGCACAGGCAAAACCUGUUUCAAUUACGCCAGUUGCAACCAAUUCCUCUGAUACGAUAUUAGAAAGCCUAAAGCAAAGCAAUCCAACCGCUGAUUUGUCUAUGUACCGGACUCCAAGUGGCUCUUAUUACUGUGAGUGUUGUAAUAUAUCCAUGUGUCAUGUCGCUGGUUUACAACAACAUCUGAUCGGCAAGAAGCAUUUAAAAAAAGUAAACGAAGUUAAAGAGAAGGCAAAGAACGAAGCAGCAAAAAUUAAGAACGAAGCUAAGGCAUAAGCUGAGAAAAGGAAUCAAUUGAAGAUACAAUAAAUGGAUAUUCUCUUAGCGAUAUUUCGCAUUAUAUAACUAUAUACAUAAGCGCUUUGAACAUUGUGCAUUCUAAUUUCGAAUACGCGUUCAUAAACUAUAGCAAAAAAUGAUGUAAAGGAUCUUUUUAGGCAUGUUGGUAUAGUAUCAAUUGAAUGUACUAUGAUGGAAUUUAUAAUGUCAGCUAAUGUAUCCCCGGCACAUAUUGUAACAAUACUAAGUACAUACAUUAGAAUGGAAACAUAUAUGUCUAUCCCUAAAUAUACAUCCAUACUUAUGUAUCUAUUUACAUAUAUACCCAAGUAUACAUAUAUAUGAAAUAAUAAAUACUUGAAACAAAAGGCUAAAUAAAAUAAAAUUAAAAGCCUAAUAUGU